rnacentral:rRNA from 1 species
GUGGCAGCAGUCGAGAAUCUUUCACAAUGGGGGCAACCCUGAUGGAGCGACGCCGCGUGGAGGAUAAGGUCUUCGGAUUGUAAACUCCUGUCAUGUGUGAACAAGGUUGUCGUGUUAAUAGCAUGGCAAAUUGAUGGUAACACAAGAGGAAGAGACGGCUAACUCUGUGCCAGCAGCCGCGGUAAUACAGAGGUCUCAAGCGUUGUUCGGAAUCACUGGGCGUAAAGGGUGCGUAGGUGGCGUGGAAAGUCAGAUGUGAAAGCCCGGGGCUCAACCUCGGAAUUGCAUCCGAUACUCCCAUGCUAGAGUACUGAAGAGGUGACUAGAAUUCUCGGUGUAGCAGUGAAAUGCGUAGAUAUCGAGAGGAAUACCAACGGCGAAGGCAGGUCACUGGGCAGUUACUGACACUGAGGCACGAAGGCCAGGGGAGCGAACGGGAUUAGAUACCCCGGUAGUCNUGGCAGUAAACGGUGCACGUUUGGUGUGGGCGCAAUCGACCGCGUCCGCGCCGGAGCUAACGCGUUAAACGUGCCGCCUGGGAAGUACGGUCGCAAGAUUAAAACUCAAAGAAAUUGACGGGGACCCGCACAAGCGGUGGAGUAUGUGGCUUAAUUCGAUGCAACGCGAAGAACCUUACCUG